AGUGAACGCUGGCGGUAGGCCUAACACAUGCAAGUCGAACGGCAGCACAGUAAGAGCUUGCUCUUACGGGUGGCGAGUGGCGGACGGGUGAGGAAUACAUCGGAAUCUACUUUUUCGUGGGGGAUAACGUAGGGAAACUUACGCUAAUACCGCAUACGACCUACGGGUGAAAGCAGGGGAUCUUCGGACCUUGCGCGAUUGAAUGAGCCGAUGUCGGAUUAGCUAGUUGGCGGGGUAAAGGCCCACCAAGGCGACGAUCCGUAGCUGGUCUGAGAGGAUGAUCAGCCACACUGGAAGUGAGACACGGUCCAGACUCCCAGGGGGGGCAGAGGUGGGAAAUAUGGGGAAAUGGGGACAAGCCUACCCAACCAUGCCGGGGGGGGGAAAAAGGGCUUUGGGGUGGAAAACCCUUUUUGUUGGGAAAAAAAAGGAGGGGGUUAACCCCCCGUUUUUUGAACGUAACCAAAAAAAAAAGCACCGGUAAAUUUGGU
rnacentral:rRNA from 1 species